rnacentral:rRNA from 1 species
CGUUUUUUGUAUUUUUUAUAAAAGAUAUAACCUGCCCAAUGAAUUUUGAAUGGCCGCGGUAUCUUGACCGUGCGAAGGUAGCAUAAUCAUUAGUCUAUUAAUUGUGGACUGGUAUGAAUGGUUGGAUAAAGAGUAUCUGUUUCUUUAACAAAAAUGAAUUUUAGGUUUUUGUGAAGACGCUAAAAUGUAAUUAAGAGACGAGAAGACCCUAUUAAGCUUUACAAUUUAAGAGUUUUUAACAUUUACUUAUUUGAUUGUUUUAUUGGGGCGAUAGUAAAAUUUUAACUUUUAUUUGUAAGAAAUACUUUUAAGUAAAAUUAUUGAUCCGUAAUUUACGAUUAAAAGAACAAGUUACUAUAGGGAUAACAGCGUAAUCUUAUUGGAGAGUUCAUAUUGAUAAUAAGGAUUGCGACCUCGAUGUUGAAUUAGGAUACCUUUAGGGUGCAGUUGUUCUAAAAGGUAGUCUGUUCGACUAUUAAAAUCCUACA